UGGGAGAUAACCUACUAAGUCCAGUUAGGAGCUUGGGUUUAAGGCCAUCCAGUGGAAUGUGGGAAACCUACCAGUGGCUAUAUCCUUAGUAAAGAAUGACUUCCUCUCUCCCAGGAGCUAUCCACUACCCGUGGUGACUCAGUGUGGAAUGGAAUCUGGACAUGCCUCCCCCCAUCACCACCUAUGCCAGAAUUUCAACUGGCAUGACCUUGUGCAGGCUCUCUCGGCAGUCUGAGAUGUGCCGGGACCCUGGAAGCUGAUCUGCCUGUGACAGCCCUACUUCCCCACCUAAUGGAUCACUGGGACUCUCCAUCCAACACCAACGAUUGUUCUUGUGAGCUCCAGGGAGUCAACUUGUCCACCUCGAACAACAUCUUGCCAGGUCUAAGUGGUGCCGGACAGUUCCACAGAGCCUGGACAGCGAAGUGAAAAAGCCAGCUACCCCAGGACAUGGUCAGCACCCUAGUUUUCUCAGGUUCCCCAAAGAUGAUCGAUGCCUCCCCAGGCCAGCAGGAAGCAGUCUCAAAAACACAGCACCCUUGUCCCCACCUCUUUCUAGCUCCUCACCUCUUUAUAAUAAAGAAAAGGGAGGUGUGUCAGCAUUUAAGCAUCUGCACUGGCCCGCCCUUGGGACCUGACAGGAUGUAACUUAGUGGCUGUGGCCACUAAGAGCACCCUCUGUGAGUAUUUGCUGUGUUUCCUUGUAAAAGGUGGGCCUUGUACACCUCCCAUCUCUUUUUCUCUUCCUUCACUCCCUCCCCAGGGAUAGA